rnacentral:tRNA from 1 species
AAGUAAAGAAGUAAAAUACAAUUAAUUUCGACUUAAAAUUAGGGUAAACAAACCCCAUACUUA